UUGAAAUCAAUCAAAAUUUUUACAGAAAUUCAAACUAGAAAGCCUACCCUUUAAAAUAAAUCUAGUCAGUUACAGAACUAGUGAAAUAAUAACACUACACAAUUUAUAACAAAAGUUAUAUAUUUUUUUUUAAGAACUACAUUCGUGGGUACCGGACUGGUUGCCCUAACUGGGAUCCUAUUCCUAAUGUCAAAGAGGCCGGC
rnacentral:lncRNA from 1 species